UACGUAGGGUGCAAGCGUUAUCCGGAAUUAUUGGGCGUAAAGAGCUCGUAGGCGGCUUGUCGCGUCUGCUGUGAAAUCCCGAGGCUCAACCUCGGGCCUGCAGUGGGUACGGGCAGACUGGAGUGCGGUAGGGGAGAAUGGAAUUCCUGGUGUAGCGGUGGAAUGCGCAGAUAUCAGGAAGAACACCCGUGGCUAAGGCGGCUCUCUAGUACGGUACUGACGCUGAGACGCGAAAGCGUGGGGAGCGAACAGG
rnacentral:rRNA from 1 species